rnacentral:rRNA from 1 species
UACAGGGGGGGCAAGCGUUGUUCGGAAUUAUUGGACGUAAAGAGCUCGUAGGCGGUGUGUCACGUCGGCCGUGAAAACCUGCAGCUUAACUGUGGGCGUGCGGUCGAUACGGGCAUCACUGGAGUUCGGCAGGGGAGACUGGAAUUCCUGGUGUAGCGGUGAAAUGCGUAGAGAUCGGGAGGAAUACCAGAGGCGAAGGCGGCGGACUGGACAGCAACUGACACUCAACUACGAAAGCGUGGGUAGCAAACAGG